UACGAAGGGUGCAAGCGUUAAUCGGAAUUACUGGGCGUAAAGGGUGCGUAGGCGGUUCGUUAAGUCUGUUGUGAAAUCCCCGGGCUCAACCUGGGAAUGGCAAUGGAUACUGGCGGGCUAGAGUGUGUCAGAGGAUGGUGGAAUUCCCGGUGUAGCGGUGAAAUGCGUAGAGAUCGGGAGGAACAUCAGCGGCGAAGGCGGCCAUCUGGGACAACACUGACGCUGAAGCACGAAAGCGUGGGGAGCAAACAGG
rnacentral:rRNA from 1 species